AAAAAAAAAAAAAGAAAUCAAAAACUCAAAAAUCUUAAGGUUCAGUUCGAUUUUCUUUGAUUUCGGUUCGAUUCAGUUCGAUUCGAUUUGAUUCGAUUUUCUUUUAUUUCCUAUAUAUUAAUAAUUUCAGUUCGGUUCGGUUCGAUUUUUUUAUUUUUUAUGAAAAUAAUCGAAUCGAACCGAUUAAUCAAAAUUAUUAAAAUUUAUAAAUCAAACCGAACCUAUUGAAUUUUGAAAUCGAAUCG
rnacentral:misc_RNA from 1 species